GCAAGUCGAGCGCGCCCUUCGGGGUGAGCGGCGGACGGGUGAGUAACGCGUGGGAAUAUACCCAGUUCUAAGGAAUAGCCACUGGAAACGGUGAGUAAUACCGCAUACGCCCUUCGGGGGAAAGAUUUAUCGGGGAAGGAUCGGCCCGCGUUGGAUUAGGUAGUUGGUGGGGUAAUGGCCUACCAAGCCGACGAUCCAUAGCUGGUUUGAGAGGAUGAUC
rnacentral:rRNA from 1 species